CAGAGGGACAAUUUAAUAAUGAAAGUGGAACAGAGAAAAGGCCAGAAUCUCCUGUAUCCUCUGAUAUCCCAAGCUUUAAGGAUGAACAAUCAAAACCACUCCUCAAGCAAUGUAAGGAUGGAACAUCCUCUCAGGAAAGAACUGAGGAAAGACUAAAUUCUCCUUUAUCCAA